GCUUAAACAAACAAGCUUCUAAAGAACUUUGAAGGUGGAUAACAUGGUAGGAAAGUAAAUUUUUUGAGAUAAAUUGACUCAUUUUGCAGUGAAAACUCAGACUCUAGUAGAUAGCAGUGUCAGUGCUGACAGAUGAGGAAAGACACACUAUUCAAAGACCUUACCUUGGACAUGCAGAUACCUGAAAGGUUCAUGCUCUUCUUGUAUUGAAAAAAAUACAAAUAAAGUUUUAUGAUCUCUCACACCAAAAAGUCCUAGAAGAAACAACUUAAAACUUUUUCAUUGAUCUCUUGGAAUAUGUCAGAAUUCACGUUCACCUCAUCUAUUAAAAGAGCUAAAAGAACUAGGUGUUCCUGGGAAGAAUGAAUAGAAAUCUUACUCUUUUAUUUGGAUCAAAGGAUUUCAACAAUGGUUCACUGAUGAAGGUUGAGAAUUAGCACUCAUAAAGAAAAUGAAUUACUGUUAUAAAAAUGAAAGACUCAUUCCCAUGGGAAGAAGCAUGAAAACUAUAUAUAUAUAGAGAGAGAGAAAAAGACAAUGGUUUUUGCAAAGUUUCUGAAUCAGAAUUUGAAUUUCCUGACUGAAGAUUCACAGCUCUAUGAUGUCUUAAAGGAAGAGAUUAUAGACUACCAGUAUAGACCACUCAUUUGAAAAUAAAUUGUAAAAAGAAGAAGAAAUAGGACAGUAACUAGAGUUGACAGCAGAAGCAAGUGAAAAUCUUUCUCCAAAAAUUGGGGGGAGGGGAGGUGGGGAACAGGGGCAGCUCAACAGCUAGUGGAUUGUGAGCCAGGCCCAGAGAUGAGAAGUACUGUGUUCAAAUCUGCCCUCAGCCACUUCCUAGCUGUGUGACCCUGGGCAGGUGACAA